AGAGCUAAUAGAAAAAGUUAUAUUGGAAGAAAGUUCAUACGAUGAGUAAUCAGAUGAGACAGUAUUUGAAAGAGGUUAAAGAAUAGAAGAGUUGAACGUCGAGGAGAAAUGGAUUGAAAACAAUUUUACAGAUUCGGCUGGGGUAUUCGAGAUAAUGUUAUCGAGAUGGACCGAAAAAGGAACUGGAGAUUUCUGUUUUAAAUUAUUAACAA